rnacentral:rRNA from 1 species
AUUGAACGCUGGCGGCAGGCCUAACACAUGCAAGUCGAGCGGAUGAGGAGAGCUUGCUCUCUGAUUUAGCGGCGGACGGGUGAGUAAUGCCUAGGAAUCUGCCUGGUAGUGGGGGAUGACGUUCCGAAAGGAACGCUAAUACCGCAUACGUCCUACGGGAGAAAGCAGGGGACCUUCGGGCCUUGCGCUAUCAGAUGAGCCUAGGUCGGAUUAGCUAGUUGGUGAGGUAAUGGCUAACCAAGGCGACGAUCCGUAACUGGUCUGAGAGGAUGAUCAGUCACACUGGAACUGAGACACGGUCCAGACUCCUACGGGAGGCAGCAGUGGGGAAUAUUGGACAAUGGGCGAAAGCCUGAUCCAGCCAUGCCGCGUGUGUGAAGAAGGUCUUCGGAUUGUAAAGCACUUUAAGUUGGGAGGAAGGGUUGUAGAUUAAUACUCUGCAAUUUUGACGUUACCAACAGAAUAAGCACCGGCUAACUUCGUGCCAGCCGCCGCUGUAACAC